AAAAAGGAGGAGGGAGUGAGGGGAAGAGAGACAAGGGGAGGGAAAGAGGAGAAGGAGGAGGGAUAGGAGGAAAAGAGAUAUGUGGAGAAGGGGGAGGGGAUGGUGUCUUCGCGCCUCCUCGCGUGGGGCGGUGUUUAGAGCCUGGCAAUGGGAGACUGGACAGCCCCGUGGUACAGAAGACCGCCCCACACCCUCUCAUAAACUUUAUUACUCCCUACCCAUUGGUCCCUCUCGCCCUCUUCCCUCUGUUCCCUAUAUCUCCAGGGAAAUGCACCUAGCUUUCAGUCUGGCUCCGCUUGAUGGAAAACUCAGAGCUCGAGGAGGCGACCCUGACUCGACCCGGCAGAAAAGAGGAGGCGGGCGUUCUCGCUUCGCGGCUUGCAACCGGCCUCACAG
rnacentral:lncRNA from 1 species